rnacentral:tRNA from 1 species
GCCUCUGUAGCUCAGUUGGUUGGAGCGUUGCACCAGAAUCGCAAGGCCGCAGGUUCAAUUCCUGCCAGGGACC